UAGAUUCUGGAAUGGGAGUUGUCUACU
rnacentral:piRNA from 1 species